GUCAUUGUAAAUUUUGUUCAUGUGCCGAGUACACGUCUUGUUUUUCAAUAAUUUGUUUAAAAUUUCAAGUUUUUCGUACUGCUGUGUCGAUAUUAAAUUUAGAAUUAAGUUUACUAGGGAAUAUAAACGCGCCGAGAGAAAUGCCACCAUUUAUACGCGACGAUGUGCCAUUCGUCUGGUGCCAGGAGGAGCAGAACCAGGAGCAGAACCAGGACAAUAACCUGAACGCAGAACCAAUCCAAGAGGACAAUGAAUUGUCCAGUGAUGAUCAAGCGUUGGAUGUGGCCCUGUUACAAGUCAGAGCCGCUGUGGAGCGAAAUGCUGUAGAAGCAGAUCGUGCCGGAAUAAAUGUUGUGGCCUUCCAUCAGCGCAAUGCCGUUUAUUCGAGCCUCCUUUUCGAGUUCGUAUCUGCCGUCGACAGGAAGAUAGCUCUCAACCGGGAGCCAGCCACCGCGGAGACCGCCAUCGAGCACAGCGCCCUCACCGCGCAGAUCAAUCGACUGGUGCGGGAGGUCUGCGAAUUUAACAUCAGCUACAAUUAAUAUUUUGGAAAUACCAUUUCGGCCUCCUCAAUAAUAAGUGUACCUCAUUUUUGCGCUCGAUGGGGCUUAUCCGAUUGGACGUGACAUCGCAGAGACAUAGUCUUAAGAUGCCCUAUAGCUCUGUAGAAUACAAGGUCCACAAGUAAGAACGGUUCGUGCUCCGAGGCACUGUACGAUGUGCUUGGUCUUUCUCUUGGCAACAGCCCAAAGUCCAAUCACUCAGCUCCAAUAUGUAGAAAAACGAAUCUCACCUAAUCCCAUACCACUCCCGACUCCAACUCAAGUACAAUCCGCUGGCAAGUGGCACUUUAGAGACAUAGAAACCGAACAAUCAAAUCUGAAUUAUUAUAUAAGCCAUAAAUGGGAAGUGAAAUAAAAACAAAAGCAAUACCAAAUGCUAGAUGUGCGAACAGGUGGGCUGAAAAAUGGGAAAAAUGUGUAUCUGGGAAGCUGAAACGAUUUCAAGAAGCCCCAUUAACCUCAAUUAGUGACUUUGGAUUUGAACGAGAUGCAAAACAAUGGCAAACCGAAAACUGAAAACUGAAAACUGAAACUGGAGCUCGCUGAAAGUGAAACAGAAACAGAAAUUAUACGAACAAACACAAAACUCGAACUGAAACUGCUAAUUAAAAUAAUGUCAAUAAAA